AAUGAAUCAACGAGUUGACAGCGGCGAGCAACGACGUUCAUCGAAGUUUUGCGGAUAAAAAGCGAUUUAAAAUUGAUAACUUGUCAAAUAAAAUUGAUUUAAUAUAAUUAUUUGACUUGUGGGAUUCAUUUGGCUACAAGUAUAUACUUGGAUUUUGAGGUUUUCGUUUUUUUUUAACUGUGGACGCUAAUUUAAAGCGGUUGAUUUACGAGAAGAAAGAAGAAUAGAGCAAAGCGGCGACGGCUACUGCGACAGUCUAAAAAAAGGGGGAAAAGAGGAAGAAAAGCGAUAGCAGCGAAGCAGUCGGUUAACGACAGCGACAUUAGUGCCGGAGCAGAAGCAGAAGUAAAACGUUUGUCAAAGAGAAAAAAUUCGUAGUAGAGAAAAGUAAAAAUUGAAUUUCGGAAACGCAGGCGACGACGAAAAAAGUGUAGAACGCUGAAAAUUUUUGUUUUAAUACAACGCCGACGCUAAAUUAAAUAUUUCAUUAGAAACUUUCUAAAAGUUUAAUAUCUGAGGAUUUUAUUAACGCAAUUAACAGAAUGUCGGAACGUGAAAAUAAUGUGUACAAGGCCAAAUUGGCUGAACAAGCUGAACGUUAUGAUGAAAUGGUUGAAGCUAUGAAAAAAGUUGCUUCCCUCGAUGUUGAACUAACUGUUGAAGAGCGAAAUCUACUUUCAGUCGCUUAUAAGAAUGUAAUUGGCGCUCGACGUGCUUCAUGGCGUAUAAUUACCUCAAUUGAGCAAAAAGAGGAAAAUAAAGGCGCUGAGGAGAAGCUUGAAAUGAUCAAAACCUACCGUGGGCAGGUGGAGAAAGAGUUACGCGAUAUUUGUUCCGAUAUUUUGAAUGUGCUAGAAAAUCAUCUCAUUAAAUGCGCCACCACAGGUGAAAGCAAAGUAUUCUAUUAUAAGAUGAAGGGUGAUUAUCAUCGCUAUUUGGCUGAAUUUGCUACUGGAUCGGAUCGUAAGGAUGCGGCAGAAAAUUCACUUAUUGCUUACAAGGCUGCCAGCGAUAUUGCAAUGAAUGAUCUUCCGCCAACACAUCCCAUUCGUUUGGGUUUGGCGUUAAACUUUUCGGUAUUUUAUUAUGAAAUUCUUAAUUCGCCCGAUCGCGCUUGUAGAUUAGCGAAAGCUGCAUUCGACGAUGCCAUUGCCGAGCUAGAUACCUUAAGCGAAGAGAGCUACAAAGAUUCCACACUUAUCAUGCAAUUACUGAGGGAUAAUCUUACAUUAUGGACGUCUGAUAUGCAGGCUGAUGGUGAUGGCGAACAAAAACCGGAAAUUCAAGAUGUUGAAGAUCAGGAUGUGUCGUAAUUUAAGUAACCCCACCUUACUUAAUUAUAAAAUCCCUUCUAUAUACCUUUUCCUACUGUAAUACAGCAGCAGCAACCACACACACAAACACAUUAAAACGAGAAACAUUAUAAUACACUACAACAACAAUGAAAAAACACUUGAAACUAAAAUAUAACUCAAACAAAUUCCUCCUGCCCCGCUCCCAUUCAAUGUGUGAAAAUUUUUGCAUUAAACAUAAUUAUUAAAAUCAGAAUUAUUAUUAAAACAACAAAAUAAUGAUUAUUAAUAAUUACGGUAAUGAUAAAUACAUCAGUAUAAAAAUAAAUAUAAUAAAAAUCAACACUAAUUAUUUUAGAGCAUAAUAACAUUUAACCUAGAAAACAGGCAAUACAUUCGCACUCACACAGUUAAUCGUUGCAAACGCAACAUUCAGAAUGUAAUAGAAGAAAAUCGAGUUUAUUUUAAGGAUUCUACAAUAAAGAAAUAUUAAGAGAAGAGGAUAGAAAAUAGUAAUAAAGAAACAAUUGUAUCAAUCAAAUAAAAAUGAGCGAAUUACAGUCAACAAAAGUGAUGGAAGAAUUGAUGAGAACUUAUCUUAGAAAUACUAGACAUAAAGUUUGAAAUGGUAAACAACGCAUAAAUAAACGAAUAAUAUAACAUGAUGGAUAAA
rnacentral:misc_RNA from 1 species